rnacentral:rRNA from 1 species
UACGUAGGGUGCAAGCGUUGUCCGGAAUUAUUGGGCGUAAAGAGCUCGUAGGCGGCUUGUCGCGUCGACCGUGAAAACUUGGGGCUCAACCCCAAGCCUGCGGUCGAUACGGGCAGGCUCGAGUUCGGUAGGGGAGACUGGAAUUCCUGGUGUAGCGGUGAAAUGCGCAGAUAUCAGGAGGAACACCGAUGGCGAAGGCAGGUCUCUGGGCCGAUACUGACGCUGAGGAGCGAAAGCGUGGGGAGCGAAUGGG